rnacentral:lncRNA from 1 species
GGAACGGAUACCUCUGCAACUAUCUGCAACCUGGACCUCUGCAACAGAAAUCUCAGGCCAAAUGGAAAUGGAGCCUUUUAUGAAGUUUCCCUCUUUUUAAGCUGGAAAGUUGGCAGCGACGUCGUUUCGAAGUGAGUCGGAAAGUCUGGGUUGGGCUGGCAACAUCACCCCUAAGAUGAGGGCCGUUUACAAGUUUGUUUAUAAAAAGUGGGGGAGCUGGAGCUGUGUUUUCUUGGCGCUGUGCUGGAAUUCUGACCACUCGAAGAUGAGAUCUCAUUCUAGGAGUGCUUGCUAGUGCCUCCUUCAGGGACCAACCCUGUCAAGUGGGAAGGCAUGAAGUUCGAGAAGUCAGCAUUCCCAGAGGCAGGUCAGCUUGCUUUCAUUCUGUCGUACUCGGUUUCCUUACUUUCCUCCUAACACGUUACCUCUGAAGCAAAUGUUCCCGAGCACUGUCCCCUUCUAGAAAGACCUUGUAUGAGAACCUUAUCUUUGCACAGAGUGUGGAGACCGCCAUUAGGGCAGACGGGAUGGAUUUGACCAACCCAGGUCACAAACCAGUGAUGAUGGAGAGGAGAAUUCCACGAGUUAGCCAGGGCGCAGCGGGACAGAGGGAACCUGGCUCCUUACUUACAACAGCUUCUUGGAGCAAGGAAUCUUGGACAAAAAAAUAAAAGCAUUAGAUCGGUUCAAGGCUAUUUGUUCAACUCCACAUCUAACUCUGCUCUGGGUCCCAGAGACACCAACGUACACAAGAUUCACUCCUUAUGUCCCAGGAGCCCAUGGUCUACCCAGGAAGGCAGAGAAGGAAGACCUGUUCUGUGAGGCUGAAUAACUGAGCUGUGGGUAGGAACCUGAAGAGAGCAGAGCCAGGGCAGACCCCAAGGAGGGGAACUGAGCGGAGCCUGGCAAGAUGAA